rnacentral:tRNA from 1 species
GUACCCGUAGCUCAGCUGGAUAGAGCGUUGGCUUGCGGAGCCAAAGGUCGCACGUUCAAGUCGUGCCGGGUACACCA